rnacentral:rRNA from 1 species
AUACGUAGGGGGCAAGCGUUAUCCGGAUUUACUGGGUGUAAAGGGAGCGUAGACGGAAGGCCAAGUCUGAUGUGAAAGCCCGCGGCUCAACUGCGGGACUGCAUUGGAAACUGGUCAUCUGGAGUGCAGGAGGGGUAAGCGGAAUUCCUAGUGUAGCGGUGAAAUGCGUAGAUAUUAGGAGGAACACCGGUGGCGAAGGCGGCCUUCGGGGCCACGACUGACGCUGAGGCGCGAAAGGUAGGGGAGCGAACAGGAUUAGAUACCCUGGUAGUCCACGCCGUAAACGAUGAGUGCUAGGUGUUGGGGGUCAAACCUCGGUGCCGCAGUUAACACAUUAAGCACUCCGCCUGGGGAGUACGUGCGCAAGCAUGAAACUCAAAUGAAUUGACGGGG